AUGAGCAGCGGCAAGCACGCCGGCGAGCUGCGGCCGUCGCCACCGAAGCUACGAGUGUCACCGCCGAGAGCUGCAACCACUAGUGCAGUUGUUACAUGGGUUGAGGCGGCGACGAGGACGGGCGGAAAGGGUGGGGACCAGCGACGAGGACGGCCGGCGAGGGCGGGGACCAACAACGGGGACGGCUGGCGAGGAUGGGGACCGGCGAUGCGGACGACCACUGGAGAGCGCGCGGGGCUGAUGAGAUGCGGAGGGCUGAAAUCAUCACUUGCUUACUGGGACAGGAGAGUGAGGGGUGCAACUGCAGUUGCACGUCACGUGGCUGAUAGACAUGCUGUUAUGCAUCUGUGCAUGGGCGCGCAACUACAGUUGUGUGCGGCUGGAGAACGUGACCUGCUGAUGGUGAUCACGUGCUCACCCCGUCUCGCCGUUGUGGUAGGCCAUGGCGAGCAAGCCUUGCCAGACUUGCUCGGGUGUUGUGAUGUGAGGACCUGCCGAUGGACAUAUCAUUUUCACCUCGACCGUGCCACCGCGUGUAAUUAUACUGCCUCGCCGGGGGCAUUUUCGUCAUUCCAUGCACUGGGGUAUAAAAGGCAGUUGCCGCCGCGGUGGAGACCUAGCUGCUUCCUCCCGUCGCGCGACCUUCUCCCGUCCUCCCGCAUCCCAACCCCCACCUCGCCACCGCCGCCAACACCGGGAGAGUCCGACGAGUUCCAGCGGCCCUCGGCGGAGCGCAGCACACCCACGAGCUCCCCUCAUGGUGGUGCUUCCUUCCCUCCGUCCAGAUCCGCUCCUCACGGCCGCAAACUCUCGCUCGCGCCACCCCUCCCCGCGGCUAGGGUUUCGGUUGCCUCCAACUCCGGCACGACACCCUCCUCCAUGGACGAGGACAACCACCACGGCCCACACAUGGUCGAGCUCGCCGUCGUCUGCUCCGGUGCGGUGCUGGGCCAACGAUCUCCACCUCCACGGCUGCUAGCUCGGCUUCUCUUCUCCAUGGACGAACCUCACAGGCAACAGCAAGCCAUCUCAAGGGAGGGGAUUCUCAAGUCACCCCACGUCCAAUCCAUGGACGCCGUCCACAGGGCAAUAUGUGUCCUACAUGAGCUUGUUGGCUUGGGCGUCUGGGCAUGCUAUGGCAUGGACGAUGUCCAUGUCAAGAUGAGUGACUGGGCACAUGGGAGUAAGCUCGAGCCGCAGCCGAGUUCAGACUCUUCCUCUCACUUGGUGCUCCGUAGGAGGAGCAAGAGAUUUCAAGACGACGAGGAGGCUGCAAGAAAAUGCGGGCUGCCAAAGAAGGCUUACAUUCAGCAGCUUAAGAGUGGUAAGCUGAAGCUUGCUCAACUAGAACAGGAUCUCCAGCGGGCUCGUUCUCAGGUGCUGCUUGUUGGAUGUCGAGUACAGCAGGUGGCUGGACGACGACAACAGUCGCAUGACUCCGGGGAGGCCUGCAUGCGCACUUGCCGGAUGACACUGGCACCUCAGCUUGAUCCCUUGACUGAACAGCAAAUGGUUGGCAUCUGCAGCCUUGGGCAGUCAUUGUAG
rnacentral:rRNA from 1 species